GUGGUUGUGGUGUAGUUUGGUUAACACGCAAGCCUGUGGAGCUUGAGAUCGGGAGUUCAAAUCUCCCCUUCCACC
rnacentral:tRNA from 1 species